UACGGGGGGGGCAAGCGUUGUUCGGAAUUACUGGGCGUAAAGGCGCGUAGGCGCCUGCUAAGUCGGAUGUGAAAUCCCUCGGCUCAACCGAGGAACUGCAUCCGAUACUGGCGGGCUUGAAUCCGGGAGAGGGAUGUGGAGUUCCAGGUGUAGCGGUGAAAUGCGUAGAUAUCUGGAGGAACACCGGUGGCGAAGGCGGCAUCCUGGACCGGUAUUGACGCUGAGGCGCGAAAGCUAGGGGAGCAAACGGG
rnacentral:rRNA from 1 species